ACUUUGAACCUGGGCUUUAUUUUUUGUUUUUGUUUCUAGUUUAUAAUAUUUGGAAAUUGAAAAAAGAAUAUAUGUGCUACUAGCAAGCUCGUUCCUGAAGAAAGAAGAAACGUCGCCAUUUAUUAGGGCAGCGAAUGCUUCAAAAUUUAUUUAGAAGAGAUUUAAGAACAGAGUCUCUCUCCUGGUCAUUAAAAAUCUCUAACUUUUUUCUCUUCGAGCCUGAAGUCACAUUACCAGUAAUGGUUGUCCUCAACGUAAGACUGAAAUUGAGCCCUGAAUUACAGUGGUAAGUUGCUGCAGUCACAAGUCGAGGCAUCAUGUGACUGGACCCAAAUUUUCAACAUUUUUAGAGUAGUUGUUAAGCAAAUGCUGUAGUCGUUAAGCGAAUGCUGAAGUCAUUAAGUGUUCGCUGGGGCGCUGCAAACAGUUCUAAAGGUAAUCAGUUGCCAAGAAUCCAAAAUGGGAUCAUGUGAUCAGGGAGGUGGGGAUAUGCGGACACCAUAAUGAUUAAAAUAAGUCAUAAGUAGUUCUGGGUCAGUUCUUCAUAAUUUCAAAUGGUCAUUAGGCAAGCAGUCAUAAAUCGAGGACUACCUAUAACGAUUAAAUACUAGUAUUUUAUUAGGGAAAACCCUCAGAGCUGUUAGAUCUGUAAGGGGAGAGGAGGGGCUGCCCUGGGCCUUCCUGAGCCAGGGCAUGGGAGGAGGUGAUGCACGUCUGGCCAGCCUUAUUGGAGCCAUGUCCCAGUCAAGCGGGGCAUCCACUGGCACACGUCCAGCUUGGGAGGAGCUGAAAGGGGAGCGCGAGCCCUGCACAUGAUCAGAGCCUCCACAGCCCCGAGGGGAGAGUGCACUAUGUCCCCUCCCCUUCCUGGAGACCCUGUGUGAGGAGCCCUUCCUUGGGCAGGGGGUUGGUCUAAAAGCCACACCCUAGGAUUGUAUGAUUCCUUCUGUGCUUUGUGCCACAAUGAUGGUGCUUCUCUGUUGUUCCUGUUCCCACAUGAAAGGAAGAGGCCAAAGGCCACCAAAGGAGUCAGCCACCGGGCCGCCCAGACACUGCUAAACCCAGGUGAGCUGCCCUCCUUGGGUAGGUUUAGAAUGUGGCCCUUGUUUACCUAGUUGCCGAGGCAACGAGGUUGUCAGUUUCCCUGAAAAGCCACCAACCAGGGCCCAACUGCCCAUUCUCCCUUCGUGCAGUGAAAGGACAAACAGCUGCUUGGGGUCAUGGCUGUACGGAGGUUUUUUAGAAACAUCUGGAAAAGAUGUUCGGCGCUCUUCUGCUGCAGGAAGAGCGACGUAGAGGACCUUCCUGUGCCUCCUGACAGAACUGACGAGGCACAUGAACAGGCGGACCAGAAGGGAGAAUGGU